UUUAACAUGGACUUCAUUAAAUUUUUCAUUUUAAUGUUUUUUUCGCCAUCAUGUAUCCUGUGUCAGACAUUACAAGAGUCUGCUCCUGGAACUGUGAAACCCUCAGAGUCACUCAGACUGACCUGCACAGUUUCUGGGUUUGAGCUAACUAGCAAUGGUGUGAACUGGAUCAGGCAGCCUCCUGGGAAAGUACUGGAAUGGAUUGCAUCUGUAUGGGCAAGUGGAAGCACAGCUAUUGCAGAUUCACUUAAAAACAGAGUUACAAUUACUAGAGAUACUGGGAAGAAGCAGGUCUACCUCCAAAUGACUGGGAUGGAAGUUAAAGACACUGCCAUGUAUUACUGUGCAAGAGAGACACACAGUGACAGAAGAGAAUGAGGAAGUCAGACAAUAACAAAAUGUCAAAUUACAUUGCACAGUGUUGCGAAACCACAAAAGAUUAAAUUAUGAAAAUCCUACAGUAAUCAGGUCAAAUAUUUAGUUAAACGUUCAUAUUUCUAUGAAUGAAUUUCUUAAUGGAAUAAGAG